rnacentral:rRNA from 1 species
AGCGAACGCUGGCGGCAGGCCUAACACGUGCAAGUCGAACGAACUCUUCGGAGUUAGUGGCGGACGGGUGAGUAACACGUGGGAACGUGCCUUUAGGUUCGGAAUAACUCAGGGAAACUUGUGCUAAUACCGAAUGUGCCCUUCGGGGGAAAGAUUUAUCGCCUUUAGAGCGGCCCGCGUCUGAUUAGCUAGUUGGUGAGGUAAAGGCUCACCAAGGCGACGAUCAGUAGCUGGUCUGAGAGGAUGAUCAGCCACAUUGGGACUGAGACACGGCCCAAACUCCUACGGGAGGCAGCAGUGGGGAAUCUUGCGCAAUGGGCGAAAGCCUGACGCAGCCAUGCCGCGUGAAUGAUGAAGGUCUUAGGAUUGUAAAAUUCUUUCACCGGGGACGAUAAUGACGGUACCCGGAGAAGAAGCCCCGGCUAACUUCGUG